UACGGGGGGGGCAAGCGUUGUUCGGAAUUACUGGGCGUAAAGGGCGCGUAGGCGGCCUGCUAAGUCACACGUGAAAUCCCUCGGCUCAACCGGGGAACUGCGUGUGAUACUGGCGGGCUUGAAUUCGGGAGAGGGAUGUGGAAUUCCAGGUGUAGCGGUGAAAUGCGUAGAGAUCGGGAGGAACACCUGUGGCGAAGGCGGCCGACUGGGCCGACCCUGACGCUGAGGCGCGAAGGCGUGGGGAGCGAACGGG
rnacentral:rRNA from 1 species